rnacentral:rRNA from 1 species
AAAGCACUCGAGUGGCGAAAGUGGCGAGGAACACUUGGGUAACGUACCCCCGACACAGGGAUAGCCGUGGGAAACUGCGGAUAAUACCUGAUGACAUCCGAUAACUGCAGGGUUGUCGGAUCAAAGGAUGGCCUCUACUUGUAAGCUAUCGGUCGAGGAGCGGCCCAAGUCCUAUCAGCUUGUUGGUGAGGUAAUGGCUCACCAAGGCAACGACGGGUACCGGGACUGAGAGGUUGACCCGGCGCAUUGGGACUGAGAUACGGCCCAGACUCCUACGGGAGGCAGCAGUAGGGAAUAUUGCGCAAUGGACGCAAGUCUGACGCAGCAACGCCGCGUGGGUGAUGAAGCAUCUUGGUGUGUAAAACCCUGUCAGUGGGGAAGAAACGUGCUGGUAGUUACUGACCGGCACCUGACGGUACCCACAGAGGAAGCACCGGCUAACUCCGUGCCAGCAGCCGCGGCAAUACGGGGGGUGCAAGCGUUGUUCGGAUUUACUGGGCGUAAAGGGCGUGUAGGCGGGCCUUCAAGUCGGGUGUGAAAACCUCGGGCUUAACCCGGGGCCUGCACUCGAUACUGGAGGCCUUGAGUACAGGAGAGGAAAGCGGAAUUCCAGGUGUAGCGGUGAAAUGCGUAGAUAUCUGGAAGAACACCAGUAGCGAAGGCGGCUUUCUGGCCUGAUACUGACGCUAAAGCGCGAAGGCUAGGGUAGCAAACAGGAUUAGAUACCCUGGUAGUCCUAGCGGUAAACGACGGGCACUAGGUGUCGGGGGUAUCGACCCCCUCGGUGCCGCAGUUAACGCAUUAAGUGCCCCGCCUGGGGAGUACGGCCGCAAGGCUGAAACUCAAAGGAAUUGACGGGGGCCCGCACAAGCGGUGGAGUAUGUGGUUUAAUUCGAGGCAACGCGAAGAACCUUACCUGGGCUUGACAUGCUUGGGAUCGCCGGUGAAAGUCGGCUUCCCCUUCGGGGGCCCUUGCACAGGUGCUGCAUGGCUGUCGUCAGCUCGUGCCGUGAGGUGUUGGGUUAAGUCCCGCAACGAGCGCAACCCCUGUCCAUAGUUGCCAUCAGGUUAUGCUGGGAACUCUAUGGAGACUGCCGGUGAUAAGCUGGAGGAAGGUGGGGAUGACGUCAAGUCCUCAUGGCCCUUAUGCCCAGGGCUACACACGUACUACAAUGGCCGGUACAGAAGGCGGCAAUACCGUGAGGUGGAGCUAAUCCCCAAAGCCGGUCCCAGUUCAGAUUGGAGUCUGCAACCCGACUCCAUGAAGGAGGAAUCGCUAGUAAUCGCUGAUCAGCAGGCAGCGGUGAAUACGUUCCCGGGCCUUGUACACACCGCCCGUCAAGCCACGGAAGUUGGGAGCACCCGAAGU